ACACAUGCAAGUCGAGGGGCAGCGCGGGUAGCAAUACCUGGCGGCGACCGGCGAAAGGGUGAGUAACGCGUGAGCAACAUGCCCGUAUGUGGGGGAUAGUCGAUGGAAACGUCGCGUAAUACCCCGUAAUAUAAAUUCUCGCAUGGGAGUUUAUUGAAAGAUUCAUUGCAUACGGAUUGGCUCGCGUACCAUUAGGUAGACGGCGGGGUAACGGCCCACCGUGCCGACGAUGGUUAGGGGUUCUGAGAGGAAGGUCCCCCACAUUGGAACUGAGACACGGUCCAGACUCCUACGGGAGGCAGCAGUGGGGAAUAUUGGACAAUGGCCGGAAGGCUGAUCCAGCCAUGCCGCGUGCGGGAGGACGGCCCUAUGGGUUGUAAAACCGCUUUUGUACGGGAGCAAUAAGGGUCACGUGUGACCUGAUGAGAGUACCGUACGAAUAAGCAUCGGCUAACUCCGUGCCAGCAGCCGCGGUAAUACGGAGGAUGCAAGCGUUAUCCGGAUUUAUUGGGUUUAAAGGGUGCGUAUGCGGCUUGGUAAGCGGGAGGUGAAAUGCCGGCGCUCAACGUCGGAAGUGCCUCCCCAACUGUCGGGCUUGAAUG
rnacentral:rRNA from 1 species